ensembl:snRNA
GUGUUAAAGGAGAGAAGGUUAGCACUCCCCUUGACAAGAUUGAAAGAGGCUCUCAGGACUGACAACAUGCAUAUGGUUAAGGCAUUGCCAUCUACUUCAAGGUAUCUAACCCUCAUUUUUU